rnacentral:rRNA from 1 species
AUUGAACGCUGGCGGCAGGCCUAACACAUGCAAGUCGAACGGUAACAGGAAGAAGCUUGCUUCUUUGCUGACGAGUGGCGGACGGGUGAGUAAUGUCUGGGAAACUGCCUGAUGGAGGGGGAUAACUACUGGAAACGGUAGCUAAUACCGCAUAACGUCGCAAGACCAAAGAGGGGGACCUUCGGGCCUCUUGCCAUCGGAUGUGCCCAGAUGGGAUUAGCUAGUAGGUGGGGUAACGGCUCACCUAGGCGACGAUCCCUAGCUGGUCUGAGAGGAUGACCAGCCACACUGGAACUGAGACACGGUCCAGACUCCUACGGGAGGCAGCAGUGGGGAAUAUUGCACAAUGGGCGCAAGCCUGAUGCAGCCAUGCCGCGUGUAUGAAGAAGGCCUUCGGGUUGUAAAGUACUUUCAGCGGGGAGGAAGGGAGUAAAGUUAAUACCUACGCUCAUUGACGUUACCCGCAGAAGAAGCACCGGCUAACUCCGUG